rnacentral:rRNA from 1 species
UGAUCCAGCAAUUCCGGCGUGUGUUAAAGAAAGGCCUUCGGGGUUGUAAAGCACUUUUGUCCGGAAAGAAAACGCUCUGGUUAAUACCUGGGGCGGAUGACGGUACCGGAAGAAUAAGCACCGGCUAACUACGUGCCAGCAGCCGCGGUAAUACGUAGGGUGCGAGCGUUAAUCGGAAUUACUGGGCGUAAAGCGUGCGCAGGCGGUUUUGUAAGACAGGCGUGAAAUCCCCGAGCUUAACUUGGGAAUUGCGCUUGUGACUGCAAGGCUAGAGUAUGUCAGAGGGGGGUAGAAUUCCACGUGUAGCAGUGAAAUGCGUAGAGAUGUGGAGGAAUACCGAUGGCGAAGGCAGCCCCCUGGGACGUCACUGACGCUCAUGCACGAAAGCGUGGGGAGCAA